GGGAAUCUGCCCUUGGGUUCGGAAUAACAGUUAGAAAUGACUGCUAAUACCGGAUGAUGUCUUCGGACCAAAGAUUUAUCGCCCAAGGAUGAGCCCGCGUAGGAUUAGGUAGUUGGUGGGGUCAUGGCCCACCAAGCCGACGAUCCUUAGCUGGUCUGAGAGGAUGAUCAGCCACACUGGGACUGAGACACGGCCCAGACUCCUACGGGAGGCAGCAGUGGGGAAUAUUGGACAAUGGGCGAAAGCCUGAUCCAGCAAUGCCGCGUGAGUGAUGAAGGCCUUAGGGUUGUAAAGCUCUUUUACCCGGGAUGAUAAUGACAGUACCGGGAGAAUAAGCUCCGGCUAACUCCGUGCCAGCAGCCGCGGUAAUACGGAGGGAGCUAGCGUUGUUCGGAAUUACUGGGCGUAAAGCGUGCGUAGGCGGUUAUUCAAGUCAGAGGUGAAAGCCCGGGGCUCAACCCCGGAACUGCCUUUGAAACUAGAUAGCUAGAAUCUUGGAGAGGUCAGUGGAAUUCCGAGU
rnacentral:rRNA from 1 species